rnacentral:rRNA from 1 species
AUUGAACGCUGGCGGCAUGCCUUACACAUGCAAGUCGAACGGUAACAGGUCUUCAGAUGCUGACGAGUGGCGAACGGGUGAGUAAUGCAUCGGAACGUGCCCAGUUGUGGGGGAUAACUGCUCGAAAGAGCAGCUAAUACCGCAUACUACCUGAGGGUGAAAGCGGGGGAUCGCAAGACCUCGCGCAAUUGGAGCGGCCGAUGUCAGAUUAGGUAGUUGGUGGGGUAAAGGCCUACCAAGCCGACGAUCUGUAGUUGGUCUGAGAGGACGACCAGCCACACUGGGACUGAGACACGGCCCAGACUCCUACGGGAGGCAGCAGUGGGGAAUUUUGGACAAUGGGCGCAAGCCUGAUCCAGCAAUGCCGCGUGCAGGAAGAAGGCCUUCGGGUUGUAAACUGCUUUUGUCAGGGAAGAAAUCCUCUGGGUUAAUACCCCGGGGGGAUGACGGUACCUGAAGAAUAAGCACCGGCUAACUACGUGCCAGCCGCCGCCGUAAUAC